CUUAGGGGUCUCAGAGACUAGAGAGGGAGGAGCAGAAAGAGCCUUUGUGUCCCAUGGUAGAAGAUUGCUACCCCAGCAGACCUCAAAGCCUCCUUAGAGGGCUGGGAGAGCUGGGUGCCCCCAGGGUAUCACAUUGGGCUUGAAGCAGGCCAGGACUGUGGACAGCAUGGAGGAUUGCCGCCCUCUGUUGUUAGACCUUGAGCAGUGAUAUUUGGAUUGAGAAUAGUUCCCACUGCGGAGACAUCCUGCUAGCCCUGUAACAUCUGGAAUGACACAGGCUAAGGUCGGCAACAGGUGUCAAGGUCCUCCUUCACAAGCCUAUGGGAAUAGGUAAUUGUUCAUAAACUGAUGUUGUACUGCUCUGCUUUCCUUGCUGAAGAGCUCUUGGCUGAGAAGACUGAUACUUGCAGUGAAAAGAAAGUGAGGAGAAAUGGUACUUUCUGCAGUGGAAUACAAUCAACCAGUACUGCAGUUUUACAGGUGGAUGAUCAAAACUGCUGGGUUUUCAUACAUUUUCA